rnacentral:rRNA from 1 species
UGCCAGCCGCCGCGGUAAUACUGAGGGUGCAAGCGUUAAUCGGAAUUACUGGGCGUAAAGCGAGUGUAGGCGGCUACUUAAGUCGGAUGUGAAAGCCCCGGGCUCAACCUGGGAAUUGCAUUCGAUACUGGGUAGCUAGAGUUUGGUAGAGGUAAGUGGAAUUCCGGGUGUAGCGGUGAAAUGCGUAGAUAUCCGGAGGAACAUCAGUGGCGAAGGCGGCUUACUGGACCAAAACUGACGCUGAGGCUCGAAAGCGUGGGGAGCAAACAGGAUUAGAUA